ACCCUCCCCAUGCCUUGCUUCCAGCUCAGACAGUGUUAAUAGCACAGCAACGUUCAGCUGCUGCUGAGUGGUGAGUGCUCCCCCAGGGUCAGGCAGGGGGUGUGAUGCAGCAGCUGGGCCACUGUGCCAGCUGUGCCAGGCCACAUGCAGCCUGCAGCCCAUGGGUUGGACAGCCCUGAAUAAGGACAAAUUAAACCAGUCUGAAAACCUACACAAACCACAAGUGGCUCGUGCUUCAAAUACAUCUCACAUGAAAAGGAAAUUUAUCCAAAGAUCGGCCCCAAACUUUUAGGGCACUCUGUGCAGAAUACAAGAUGUCCUUACUAAGCGGCUGAGGCUUAAAAAGAGAAUAACAUCAAAUCACACUUUGCCUAUUCCUCUGCACAACUACACAGGCAAAGCCCAAGCACUGCUAUGUUAUCACCAGACACACCACAAGGAGCACAACAACACAUCAGGAGAAGAAAUGCAAGAGUUUCUUUUGCUGCCUUUUCCAGCUCUGUGGACUGGGCACAGUACCAAAAACCAGAGCAAGAGAAUCUUCAAGGGAAACACUGCCAAACCUGGUUCAGAAAAGAAUGACUGGAAAAAAAUUCAGAAAAGAAUGACUGCAAAAGCCCCUGUUUCAGGUAAGAAACAGCACCCUCACUUUGAUCUCCUCAAAAGUGUGAGACAGAUGGAGGUGGCUAAAAAUGAAACAAGACCAAAGUUCAUCCCAAACAGGA
rnacentral:lncRNA from 1 species